AUUGAACGCUGGCGGCAGGCCUAACACAUGCAAGUCGAACGGUAGCACAGAGAGCUUGCUCUUGGGUGACGAGUGGCGGACGGGUGAGUAAUGUCUGGGAAACUGCCCGAUGGAGGGGGAUAACUACUGGAAACGGUAGCUAAUACUGCAUAACGUCUUCGGACCAAAGUGGGGGACCUUCGGGCCUCACACCAUCGGAUGUGCCCAGAUGGGAUUAGCUAGUAGGUGGGGUAAUGGCUCACCUAGGCGACGAUCCCUAGCUGGUCUGAGAGGAUGACCAGCCACACUGGAACUGAGACACGGUCCAGACUCCUACGGGAGGCAGCAGUGGGGAAUAUUGCACAAUGGGCGCAAGCCUGAUGCAGCCAUGCCGCGUGUAUGAAGAAGGCCUUCGGGUUGUAAAGUACUUUCAUCGGGGAGGAAGGCGAUGGAGUUAAUAGCUUCAUCGAUUGACGUUACCCGCAGAAGAAGCACCGGCUAACUCCGUGCCAGCCGCCGCGGUAA
rnacentral:rRNA from 1 species